rnacentral:rRNA from 1 species
UGGGGAAUUUUGGACAAUGGGCGAAAGCCUGAUCCAGCAAUGCCGCGUGUGUGAAGAAGGCCUUCGGGUUGUAAAGCACUUUUGUCCGGAAAGAAAUCCUUGGCUCUAAUACAGUCGGGGGAUGACGGUACCGGAAGAAUAAGCACCGGCUAACUACGUGCCAGCAGCCGCGGUAAUACGUAGGGUGCAAGCGUUAAUCGGAAUUACUGGGCGUAAAGCGUGCGCAGGCGGUUUGCUAAGACCGAUGUGAAAUCCCCGGGCUCAACCUGGGAACUGCAUUGGUGACUGGCAGGCUAGAGUAUGGCAGAGGGGGGUAGAAUUCCACGUGUAGCAGUGAAAUGCGUAGAGAUGUGGAGGAAUACCGAUGGCGAAGGCAGCCCCCUGGCCAAGUACUGACGCUCAUGCACGAAAGCGUGGGGAGCAAACAGGAUUAGAUACCCUGGUAGUCCACGCCCUAAAACGAUGUCAACUAGUUGUUGGGGGAUUCAUUUCCUUAGUAACGUAGCUAACGCGUGAAGUUGACCGCCU